UCGGGGAGCGUGUGCGACGACCUGACUAAGCAGGAGUUUGCGCUCCUCGGUGGAGGACAGGUAGAGACUGUCCGGGCCUCUGUGGUCUUUGAGGAUGUGGCUGUGAACUUCACCCCAGAAGAGUCGGCUUUGCUGGAUUGACGUCAGAGGAAACUCUACAGAGAUGUGAUGCUGGAGACCUGCAGGAACCUGUCCUCUGUGGAAGUCUUUUGGUGGAGAGUGUCUGUGAACGUUUUGAAUGAAGGAGAUCAAUGUAGAGAAACCCUGAACCCGAUUACAAGUCUUACUGUGCAUGAGGGUUAUCCUACUAGAGGCAAAUCCUGUCAACAUGCUAAGCGUAGAGAAGCCUUCACAGAUGGUUCCUUCCUAGAGAAGACGUGAAGAUCUCACCCAGGGCUCAAACAUAGUCCCUGUGAGGAAUGUGGGCCGGGCUGUAGCUCCGUCUCAAGCCUCAGCACUCACGUGGAUGUAGACCUUGAAGAGAGAUCCUAUGAAGGUCAGGAUGCUGGGAGAGCAUCUGACACAAACGCGAAGAGUCUCAGUAGUGAAAAAUCUCUAGAGUGCAAGAAAUGUGGAAAAGCUUUCACUUGCACGUCUUCCUUUUAGGGUCAUGUGUCAGUUCACUGCGGACAGAAAGUCCAUGAGUGUGACGUUUGUGGGAAAACCUUUAUGUAUCACUGCUACCUUACACGUUAUGUGAGAACUCACCCUGGGGAGAGACUCCUAUCAGUGUUAAGAGUGUGGGAGCGCCUUCAGGUAUAAGUCAAGCCUGAGAAAACAUGUGAGGACACACGCUCAGGAGAAACACUAUGAACGACCACACUGUGGGAAAGUCUUCACUUGUCUCUCUUCCUUUCGAGGACACACAUGCAAGCACAGUGACAUGAAACCUUAUGAACUUAAGCACCAUGGAAAAGCCUUCAGGUAUCCCAGGCAUCUUUGCGCACAGACAUGCUGUGGGAAAGCAUUUAUUCUCCCUUAAAAUCUUAUUUAUUUUUCUUCUUCUCUCUUAAAAUCUUAAUUAAAAUGUGAGCCAAUACAUUGGAGAUAAUCCUGAAUGCACACAAUUUUGGGAAAACUCCAGGUAUAGAACUUCAUGUAUUUUGUUCAUGAAAAUUCAGGUGGGACAAAAAUCUGUUCACUGUUGGGAAUAUCGCUUUGAGUUUCCAGGUGCCUCUUCCUUAAUGGGGCUCCCACACGUAUGGAUUCCUAGUUCAUGUCACUGAUAUGAACACUGAUGGUUUUAAGUGUCCUUCUUUGUCCUCUACGUCUGUAGGAUGUAGAUGUUGUUAUCUCGGACUUGAAGUAAUCAUAUGGUUAUAUAAAAAUAUCUGUUUUCCAUUACAAUGUCUCUUGGGCCCUGGGGUGAUAAGAAAGUGUCUGUUGAGGGGAGGUGUACAUGCAACUUUAUAUAAUUUUAGAGAAAAAUUUCUUGAAUUAUACAUUCCAGAAUAUGGCUACUAUCUGAUCAUGACACCAGACUUGUCUUAUUGAAAGUUCAUUUCUGUUCGCUGUUGCGGAUACUGGAAUUUGCCAAUUCUGUGUGUACUGUCGGUCUUUAUUAUUGAAAGAUACAUUUCCAGUUCAGUUAUCUCUUUAUUUAACGGAUAUUUGUUAAAACUCCAAUAUUGGUUAAUGUGUUCGGGCACUGAUUCUUGGUAUCUUUGGUCAGUUUUGUUCCCAAUUAUGACCUGGAAGAACAUCCCUUUGGACCAUGA